rnacentral:rRNA from 1 species
UACGUAGGGGGCAAGCGUUGUCCGGAUUUAUUGGGCGUAAAGAGCGUGUAGGCGGCCAUGCAGGUCAGCUGUGAAAACUCGAGGCUCAACCUCGAGACGUCGGUUGAAACCGUAUGGCUAGAGUCCGGAAGAGGAGAGUGGAAUUCCCGGUGUAGCGGUGAAAUGCGCAGAUAUCGGGAAGAACACCCGUGGCGAAGGCGGCUCUCUCGGGACGGUACUGGACGCUGAGACGCGAAAGCGUGGGGAGCGAACAGG